rnacentral:ncRNA from 1 species
AAUAGAUAAAGGCAAACCAUUUGAAAAGAUGGGACGCAAAGCCGUGGGUCUAAGGCGUAAGCUAUGAUUGCCAGGUUGCCGAU